UGGGGAAUAUUGGACAAUGGGCGCAAGCCUGAUCCAGCCAUGCCGCGUGGGUGAUGAAGGCCCUAGGGUUGUAAAGCCCUUUCGGCGGGGAAGAUAAUGACGGUACCCGCAGAAGAAGCCCCGGCUAACUUCGUGCCAGCAGCCGCGGUAAUACGAAGGGGGCUAGCGUUGCUCGGAAUCACUGGGCGUAAAGCGCACGUAGGCGGCUUCUUAAGUCGGUGGUGAAAUCCUGGAGCUCAACUCCAGAACUGCCUUCGAUACUGAGAGGCUCGAGUCCGGGAGAGGUGAGUGGAACUGCGAGUGUAGAGGUGAAAUUCGUAGAUAUUCGCAAGAACACCAGUGGCGAAGGCGGCUCACUGGCCCGGUACUGACGCUGAGGUGCGAAAGCGUGGGGAGCAAACAGGAUUAGAUACCCCAGUAGUCCCUGAGCGGGCUGGCAAGGCGCAU
rnacentral:rRNA from 1 species